GCAAUCUUCACUGUUGUUGGUUUCCACUUAAAUAUAAGCUAACAUCUCACUGCUUGUUGUUUUUUCUUCACUAGGUGCAGUUUCAGGAUGUACCAUGUUGCUGAAGGUGAAAUACCGUAGUAUCAAGAAGUACAUCAAAUUGCACUCAGGCUUCACCUAUUCAGAAUUCAUCAGGGAAGUCAAAAACAAGUUUGGGCUUCCUGAUGAUGCAGCUCAACUUCACAUUUUUGAUGAAACUGACACAGCAGUAGAGGAAGACAUUCUUCUAGAGCUGUUGGAGGGCAAUCCAGACUUGUGCCUGACAGUACGUGACAGCAUUUCAGAUGAAGACUUUUCUCCUUUAGAUCAUUCUACACCAUCUUCCCUCAUGGAUACCCUAUCACUUUCUUCAAGUGAAAGUGACUUUAGAGAACUGGGUAUUCCCACAGGCAGAAAUAGAUCCAACAAAGAAGACAGGAGCAGUUCUGCAACAAAGGCUUCUGUGUCAGAGGCGGCA